CUCCCAAACGCCGCCGCUCCAGAUCCCUCGUCCCUCACCCUCUCCCCUCGUCUCCCACCCACCGCCGCCACCCACCCGCCGUCCCUCCCAAACUGCGCCUCCGUACCGCCCACCUCCUCUCCUCCCACCUCAAGCAGAGCCCUCUCUCUCCGCCGCCGCCAGACGAUUCUGGCGAUCUCUGGCUCCUGGGGCAUAACACGAGCGGCUCCUGGGGCUCGUCUCGCUCCGCUGGGUCUUCCAGCGCCACCCGCGACCGUCUCCCGUAGCUAGGGUUUUCCCCGGCGUGGUUCGGCGACUCAGAUCCAGGAUGCCAUGGGCGGAUGGCCUCUUCCUCCCCUGCCCCGACGCCAUGAAGUUGCUAGACCUGGCCGUUGGCCGCGAGCCCAGCCACCUCCUUGCGGCCGCAUCGUCUGGAUCUGGCCGACUCUCUAGCCCGGCCGCAUCAUCGGGGUCUGGCCCGCGAGGAUCCAGGCCGCUCACCCCCGCUCCCGUCUGUCGCCGCUCCGGAUCCGCGCCACCCGCGCUCCUCGACCUCGAGCUUCGCCCCCGCCCGUCUGUUGCCGCUCCGAGGCGGCGACACAGCUGGCCUGAGCCCGAGCAAGAGCAGCAACUCAUCUCGCCCAAGCCGUUGGCCGUGAGCCCAGCCACCUCCUUGUCCUGGAAAGGGUUCAACCAAUGCAGCCCACGAGAUGAAUAUAUGAGUAUAUGAGCUAAUGUAUGUUUUGGUAGAUAUAUACAAAUCAAUGUGAAUUCUGAACUGAGCGACCCAUGAGUUCAUCCAUACAAAUAUGUGAAUUCUGAACUGAGUGACCCUUGAGUUCAUCCAUACAAAUAUUCAUCUCGAUAGUCCACUGUUUACUACAAUAGUAGUUAUUUUAGUUUCCACACAUCGGUUAUUCUGAAUUCCCAGUCACAGGUAACUGCCAAACCGCACAACUUAAUUUUACACUACUGGAAAAGGGUGCAAGUUAUGAUUCCUUUGCUGAAGCCUGCACGUCUCUAUCUAAAUUGUUUGUCAUGAGUUUUCUGACUUUAAUCGAUCGCAGCAGCUGGAAGAUGGAGCCUGACCAGAGUGGCACCGGGCAGACUUCUCCCCGUGGGAAUGACUGAGAGGUCGUGCAGCUCACCGCGUGGCCUGCCUAGGGUUUCUGGUGGCUACACGCCGGCCAUGGGUCUCCGAACACCAUGAAGGCGACGAUGCUGAUUCGAUUUGAUCCUCAAGGCCACCGGUGGAUCUUGCUGCAGGAGGUGUGUUUUGGAGAACCAACCUGAGAUGCAGGUGGGUUCUUGGGCCGUGCUCUUCUCGAGCAUGAGGGCCAUGAGGGGUUUGCUCCUCUGCCCCUAGGGCGACCAAGAGGUCCUGCCCUGAGGUCAAGCACGUCCACGCCGACCCACGACGACACGUAGCAUCUCCAUCUCCCUCUGCUUGCUAUUGCUGCUCCGAAUUAUACAUGUCCAUAACAGCUCGCUCAAUCAGUAUUGGCUGUGACGUCGAUGGAGAACUAAACCUUGCUGCCACACUCUGCAACAUCAACAGGUGCCUACGUUCGGACUCUACGAACAUACCCGAAAAUGGUGUUCCCUCUCAUUUACAGGAGCUCUAGUCUGGAAGUGAAGUAGGAAGUAUAUUUGAAGUUCAAGGCCGUGUAGCAAAUAGUUGUAUGUUUUGUCUAUGUGUAAUAGACUAUACAUAUUGUAAUAGACUAUGUACAGAUUAUAGUAGACUAAUUUAGUGUUCUUUGUUGAACUGCAUUUGUUAUAUUUUGUUUGAAAUAAUGAUUAUGUGAUUUGAAAAAAAUCAGUGAAAUGGAAACCUGACUCGUGGGACCAACUU